rnacentral:lncRNA from 1 species
AACCUAAACAUAAAAUAGUUCCAAUUCAUUCAGUAAUUUUAUAUCAAUUUUGGGUUAAUCGAUUCUGUCAUAAACUUAUUAAAAGUGGCUUUAUUUUAUUGUUAAUUAAUUUAUUUAUAUCGAUAAUCUAAUUUGAACGGAAAGAACGAUACCUAUCGAUAUGAACAAAAAUGUAAAUUAUCAAAGAAAAUAUUUUUCAAGGUGUUGAGAAUGGUGUACUCGCAUAGAGUUAGACUAUUAACUAAGAAAAAAAAAAUGUAAGAGAUGCGAAUUGAGGUGAAGGGUUCCGCAAAGUUGUAACGGUACAUUACACUCAUCGGAAUUUACAGUAAAGUAAAUUCGGUCAGCGUCCUUCCAUCUCGUUCAUUGGUAUAAUUUGGUAUCGUCCUCUUUCGAGGAACAUAAACAGGGUCAAAGGCUUACUCGAUACAUCGAAAGGAGUACAUGGAAGUCUUCUUUACCGAGCGAGUUCGACACGCAGUAAAACUUUCGCUAACCUUAAAAAAUAAUUAAAAUGUUGCUUAAGUAAUAUGUGGUAUGAGUCAACCUCAUUGCCUUUGACCCUGUCCUUCAUUUAACUUGUUACUUCUUCCUCAAAAAGAACAAGAUACGAAAGUGGUUUUUUAACACCAUCGAUACUACGUCGAAGAAAUUAUUGGACAUCACCG